rnacentral:rRNA from 1 species
AUUGAACGCUGGCGGCAGGCCUAACACAUGCAAGUCGAACGAGUGGCGGACGGGUGAGUAAUGUCUGGGAAACUGCCUGAUGGAGGGGGAUAACUACUGGAAACGGUAGCUAAUACCGCAUACCAUCGGAUGUGCCCAGAUUGGAUUAGCUAGUAGGUGGGGUAAAGGCUCACCUAGGAGACGAGCCCUAGCUGGUCGGAGAGGAUGACCAUCAAACUGGGAACUGAGACACGGGCCAGAGUCCUACGGGAGGCAGCAGUGGGGAAUAGUGCACAAUGGUCGCAAGCCUGAUGCAGCCAUGCCGCGUGUAUGAAGAAGGCCUUCGGGUUGUAAAGUACUUUCAGCGGGGAGGCGUUACCCGCAGAAGAAGCACCGGCUAACUCCGUGCCAGCAGCCGCGGUAAUUC